CGGAGCCCGAAAGCCUGUCUCAGUUCGGAUUGGAGUCUGCAACCCGACUCCAUGAAGCUGGAUUCGCUAGUAAUCGCGCAUCAGCCACGGCGCGGUGAAUACGUUCCCGGGCCUUGUACACACCGCCCGUCAAGCCAUGGAAGCCGGGGGUGCCUGAAGUGCGCUGCCGCAAGGAGCGCCCUAGGGUAAAACCGGUGACUGGGGCUAAGUCGUAACAAGGUAUC
rnacentral:rRNA from 1 species